rnacentral:rRNA from 1 species
GUGGGGAAUCUUGCACAAUGGGGGGAACCCUGAUGCAGCGACGCCGCGUGAAGGAAGAAGUAUUUCGGUAUGUAAACUUCUAUCAGCAGGGAAGAAAAAGGACGGUACCUGACUAAGAAGCCCCGGCUAACUACGUGCCAGCAGCCGCGGUAAUACGUAGGGGGCGAGCGUUAUCCGGAUUUACUGGGUGUAAAGGGGGCGCAGACGGCUUUUGGCAAGCCCGGUGUGAAAGGUGCGGGCACAACCCGCAGACUGCACUGGUAACUGCCAGGCUGGAGUGCCGGAGGGGUAAGCGGAAUUCCUGGUGUAGCGGUGAAAUGCGUAGAUAUCAGGAGGAACACCGGUGGCGAAGGCGGCUUACUGGACGGCAACUGACGUUGAGGCCCGAAAGCGUGGGGAGCGAACAGG